rfam:Gasterosteus aculeatus cont1.005581, whole genome shotgun sequence.
UUAUAAAUGCAAUGUAAGUCGCUUUGGAUAAAAGCGUCAGCUAAAUGACAUGUA